CACGAACGCUGGCGGCAGGCCUAAUACAUGCAAGUCGAACGCACCGCAAGGUGAGUGGCAGACGGGUGAGUAACGCGUGGGAAUCUUCCUUGCAGUACGGAAUAACUCCGGGAAACCGGUGCUAAUACCGUAUACGCCCUUUGGGGGAAAGAUUUAUCGCUGCAAGAUGAGCCCGCGUCGGAUUAGCUAGUUGGUGGGGCAAUGGCCUACCAAGGCGACGAUCCGUAGCUGGUCUGAGAGGAUGAUCAGCCACACUGGGACUGAGACACGGCCCAGACUCCUACGGGAGGCAGCAGUAGGGAAUAUUGGACAAUGGGCGAAAGCCUGAUCCAGCCAUGCCGCGUGAGUGAAGAAGGCCUUAGGGUUGUAAAGCUCUUUCGGCGGGGACGAUAAUGACGGUACCCGCAGAAUAAGCUCCGGCUAACUUCGUGCCAGCCGCCGCAGUAACAC
rnacentral:rRNA from 1 species